CCUACGGGAGGCAGCAGUGAGGAAUAUUGGUCAAUGGCCGGAAGGCUGAACCAGCCAUGCCGCGUGAAGGUCAGUGCCCUAUGGGCGUUAAACUUCUUUUGUGCGGGAGCAAUAAUGGUCACGUGUGGCCAGACGAGAGUACCGUACGAAUAAGCAUCGGCUAACUCCGUGCCAGCAGCCGCGGUAAUACGGGGGAUGCAAGCGUUAUCCGGAUUUAUUGGGUUUAAAGGGUGCGUAGGCUGUGAGGUAAGUCAGCGGUGAAAUGCCCCCGCUCAACGGGGUGAAGUGCCAUUGAUACUGCCUGGCUGGAAUGCGGAUGCCGUGGGAGGAAGGUGUGGUGUAGCGGUGAAAUGCAUAGAUAUCACACAGAACACCGAGUGCGAAGGCAUCUCACGAAUCCGCGAUUGACGCUGAUGCACGAAAGCGUGGGUAUCAAACAGGAUUAGAUACCCUUGUAGUC
rnacentral:rRNA from 1 species